rnacentral:rRNA from 1 species
CAGAGGGCGCAAGCGUUGUUCGGAAUUACUGGGCGUAAAGCGCGCGUAGGCGGAUCUGUUUGUCCGUAAGUGAAAUCCCGCCGCUCAACGGCGGGGCUGCUUGGGAAACGGCAGGUCUGGGGACCGGUAGAGGUCGGUAGAAUUCCCGGUGUAGCGGUGGAAUGCGUAGAGAUCGGGAAGAAUACCCGUGGCGAAGGCGGCCGACUGGGCCGGAUCCGACGCUAAUGCGCGAAAGCGUGGGGAGCAAACAGGAUUAGAUACCCUGGUAGUCCACGCCGUAAACGAUGGGCACUAGGUGCCGGGGGGAGCGACCCCUUCGGUGCCGCAGCUAACGCGUUAAGUGCCCCGCCUGGGGAGUACGGCCGCAAGGCUG